rnacentral:piRNA from 1 species
UGGCAGGUUCCCUCCGCCUAGGGUCGAAAGC